CCUACGGGUGGCUGCAGUAGGGAAUAUUGGGCAAUGGAAGGAAUUCUGACCCAGCCAUGCCGCGUGCAGGAAGAAGGCGCUAAGCGUUGUAAACUGCUUUUGUCAGGGGAGAAAAGAGGGAUGCGUCCCUAAUUGACGGUACCUGAUGAAUAAGCAUCGGCUAACUCCGUGCCAGCAGCCGCGGUAAUACGGAGGAUGCGAGCGUUGUCCGGAUUUAUUGGGUUUAAAGGGUGCGUAGGCGGUUUAAUAAGUCAGUGGUUAAAUUUUGCAGCUUAACUGUGAGUAUGCCAUUGAUACUGUUAGACUUGAGACUUGAGGGGGUAAGUGGAACUGGUAGUGUAGCGGUGAAAUGCAUAGAUACUACCAAGAAUAUCGAUAGUGAAGACAACUUACUACGGAAGUUCUGACGCUGAGGCACGAAAGCGUGGGGAUCAAACAGGAUUAGAUACCCAAGUAGUC
rnacentral:rRNA from 1 species